rnacentral:rRNA from 1 species
GACGAACGCUGGCGGCGUGCUUAACACAUGCAAGUCGAACGAAGAGCGAUGGAAGCUUGCUUCUAUUAAUCUUAGUGGCGAACGGGUGAGUAACGCGUAAUCAACCUGCCCUUCAGAGGGGGACAACAGUUGGAAACGACUGCUAAUACCGCAUACGAUCCAAUCUCGGCAUCGAGACUGGAUGAAAGGUGGCCUCUAUUUAUAAGCUAUCACUGAAGGAGGGGAUUGCGUCUGAUUAGCUAGUUGGAGGGGUAACGGCCCACCAAGGCGAUGAUCAGUAGCCGGUCUGAGAGGAUGAACGGCCACAUUGGGACUGAGACACGGCCCAGACUCCUACGGGAGGCAGCAGUGGGGAAUCUUCCGCAAUGGACGAAAGUCUGACGGAGCAACGCCGCGUGAGUGAUGACGGCCUUCGGGUUGUAAAGCUCUGUUAAUCGGGACGAAGGUUCUUGUGCGAAUAGUGCGAG